AUUGAACGCUGGCGGCAGGCCUAACACAUGCAAGUCGAGCGAGCGGCGGACGGGUGAGUAAUGUAUGGGGAUCUGCCAGAUGGAGGGGGAUAACUACUGGAAACGGUAGCUAAUACCGCAUACUAUCAGAUGAACCCAGAUGGGAUUAGCUAGUGUGUGGGGUAAAGGCUCACCUAGGAGACGAUCCCUAGCUGGUCUGAGAGGGUGCCCAGCCACACUGGAACUGAGCCACGGCCCAGACUCCUACGGGAGGCAGCAGUGGGGAAUAUUGCACAAUGGGCGCAAGCCUGAUGCAGCCAUGCCGCGUGUAUGAAGAAGGCCUUAGGGUUGUAAAGUACUUUCAGCGGGGAGGCGUUACCCGCAGAAGAAGCACCGGCUAACUCCGUGCCAGCAGCCGCGGUAAUUC
rnacentral:rRNA from 1 species